rnacentral:rRNA from 1 species
ACGCACGCUGGCGGCGUGCUUAACACAUGCACGUCGUACGGUAAGGCCCUUUCGGGGGUACACGAGUGGCGAACGGGUGAGUAACACGUGAGUAACCUGCCCACAACUUUGGGAUAACGCUAGGAAACUGGUGCUAAUACUGGAUAUGUGCUCCUGCUGCAUGGUGGGGGUUGGAAAGCUCCGGCGGUUGUGGAUGGACUCGCGGCCUAUCAGCUUGUUGGUGGGGUAGUGGCCUACCAAGGCGGCGACGGGUAGCCGGCCUGAGAGGGUGACCGGCCACAUUGGGACUGAGAUACGGCCCAGACUCCUACGGGAGGCAGCAGUGGGGAAUAUUGCACAAUGGGCGCAAGCCUGAUGCAGCAACGCCGCGUGCGGGAUGACGGCCUUCGGGUUGUAAACCGCUUUCAGCAGGGACGAAGCUUUUUGUGACGGUACCUGCAGAAGAAGCACCGGCUAACUACGUG